GCCCCGGUGGUGUAGCCCGGUCAAGCAUGCGGGCCUUUCGAGCCCACGACCCGAGUUCGAAUCUCGGCCGGGGCA
rnacentral:tRNA from 1 species